AUUGAACGCUGGCGGCAUGCCUUACACAUGCAAGUCGAACGGUAACAGGUCUUCGGAUGCUGACGAGUGGCGAACGGGUGAGUAAUACAUCGGAACGUGCCCGAUCGUGGGGGAUAACGCAGCGAAAGCUGUGCUAAUACCGCAUACGAUCUACGGAUGAAAGCGGGGGAUCUUCGGACCUCGCGCGGCCGGAGCGGCCGAUGGCAGAUUAGGUAGUUGGUGAGGUAAAGGCUCACCAAGCCGACGAUCUGUAGCUGGUCUGAGAGGACGACCAGCCACACUGGGACUGAGACACGGCCCAGACUCCUACGGGAGGCAGCAGUGGGGAAUUUUGGACAAUGGGCGCAAGCCUGAUCCAGCCAUGCCGCGUGCAGGAUGAAGGCCUUCGGGUUGUAAACUGCUUUUGUACGGAACGAAAAGGUUCUUUCUAAUAAAGAGAGCUCAUGACGGUACCGUAAGAAUAAGCACCGGCUAACUACGUGCCAGCCGCCGCCGUAA
rnacentral:rRNA from 1 species